rnacentral:rRNA from 1 species
UUACGGUCAAAUCACGCUGAAACACCGGUUUUCGUUCGAUCACCGAAGUUAAGCAUCGUAGAGCCAGGUCAGUACUUAGAUGGGGGACCGCUUGGGAACACCUGGUACUGUAAG